GGGUGGGUAGCUCAGCGGUAGAGCGUCGCCUUUACACGGCGAACGUCGCAGGUUCGACCCCUGUCCCACCCA
rnacentral:tRNA from 1 species